ACUUAAAUAGUUUAAAGAAAAAUAUUGAUUUGUGGUGUCAAAGAUAUGUUGAAAUAUUUUAGGUU
rnacentral:tRNA from 1 species